rnacentral:lncRNA from 1 species
CAACUCAACUCUAUGCCUACAGUUCUGGGGCAGAAGAACUGCCAAGGGAGAAAUUAUGCAUUGCCUGCCCCCAGUUCCCUCAGGAUACAUUACAUUAAGGAAGAAAUCAUUCUCAAAAUGUGGAAGCCAAAGCAAACUCCCAUUCUUGACUAGAAUAUUCAGCUUGCCAUUUACCAUUCCAUUCUGAGAGGCAAAAGUUCUUUCUCU